rnacentral:rRNA from 1 species
CCUACGGGGUGCUGCAGUGGGGAAUAUUGCACAAUGGGGGAAACCCUGAUGCAGCGACGCCGCGUGAGUGAAGACGUACCUCGGUAUGUAAAGCUUCAUCAGCAGGGAAGAAAAUGACGGUACCUGACUAAGAAGCCCCGGCUAACUACGUGCCAACAGCCGCGGUAAUACGCAGGGGGCAAGCGUUAUCCGGAUUUACUGGGUGUAAAGGGAGCGUAGACGGCGCUGCAAGUCCGGAGUGAAAGCCCAUGGCUUAACCAUGGUACUGCUGUGGAAACUGUGGAGCUUGAGUGCGGGAGGGGCAGGCGGAAUUCCUAGGGUAGCGGUGAAAUGAGUAGAUAUUAGGAGGAACACCGGCGGGGAAGGCGGCCUGCUGGACCGUAACUGACGUUGAGGCUCGAAAGCGUGGGGAGCAAACAGGAUUAGAUACCCUAGUAGUC